rnacentral:lncRNA from 1 species
AUUUAAUUAAGAAAAUCCGAGUGAAAAAGUUGUUAGCAUUCCUUUAUAUAUAAAUGUCAAGGACAUGUACAAGUUAGUAAAACAUAGAACAAUUACUACAUAAUAUACAUAACAGUAUCGUUUCAACCUGCAUCCAAGGAAAUAUAUGCAUAACCUAUCAAGAAAAUGUGCAAUCACUCACUGUGGGAAGGUUGUUUACUUCAUUCCAUUUACAAAUGAAAACCAUGUACACAUAUCAACUUUUUAUAAACGAGGCGUAGACGAGACAUUUCACAGAUAGCUUUGUCUAUGCGAAAGCCUUGAGGCAUGAAACGAAGAAUUAUAUACUAAGACAAUACUUUUUUAAACAUUUCAAAGAGAGAUAAAAGUUAAUAC